UGCCACCACAUUGGACUCUGACUUUUCAGUGUUUUAUUUGCUUUUUCUCUAAGACCACUGAAGAAUUCAGGAAAAUGAAGAGAGGCUUUCAAAACCCAGUGUUUGAAGAGAAGAGAAGCAGGGAACGUCUGGUUGGUGAUGUCCCCAAAUCUGUGGAUUAGCAAGAGAAAGGCUACAUGGGACUCCUGUGCAGGGUCAGCCAGAGGAAGAACUGGGGCACAAAGAUAGCCAAGGAGUGGACCAACCACUAAGCCAUUAGCACAGGAGUCAUCUCCAGUAUGUGAGCUGCCUGAUAGUGACGAGGAAGGACUGGAGUGGGGACGGCAGACAGAAGAGGACCUUUCCCUUCACAGUUCUCAGCCUGUGCUGUGUGAGAUCCAACACAGUCACUGCAGACCCACGUCAUCAAGUGGAUUGUGACACAUUUAUGCUAAUAAAACAGUAUCACCACUUUAA